CCAAUUUAAGCAAAGUAUGCCCUGUUCUAUUUGAUAACUUGUUGCCAACGAGAAUCCAACUGCUUAAUGCUCUUCUUGUAGAAGUCCUUCUCGCUAUUGGCAAAAAACUCGCACAAACAAUCUUCACAGGGUUUUAUCAAGACUGUAGGGUGGAUGCUUAAGAAUUUCCCAUACGAGCUUCCUGCGCGUCGUCAAGGAUGUACGUGGCCUGGCGUUGUCUUGAUGAUGUCUUGUUGUCUCCUAUUCACCAAUGCUAGCCGCUUCUGUUCGAUCGCUAACUUCAAAUGGUCGAGCUGUUCAUAGUAGAGGGCAGAA
rnacentral:lncRNA from 1 species